ensembl:lncRNA
AUUAGGACUUUUUUUCUUCUCCAACUGAGCGCUCCUUUCAGUUGCCUGUGUUUCAACAUCAGCAUUUGUUGAAAAUCAAUAUAUGAAAUAAUGGCUACCAAUCACUCUUGUCUACCCUGCACUUUUGUUGCGAUAUCUGGAGACAACUUCUAUUUUCAAGUUAACGACGAUGAAACAGAUUUGCAGUGUGAUUCAUAUCAAAUAGCCACAACAUCCAAGGCCAAGCAUUGUCUCCUAGUCCAAGACAACUGCUUUCUCUCAGUUACUGGAGAACAGUGUCACUUUGUGCAUUUAAACAGGGAGGAAGGAGGACCUGACUGUCAGUUCAUCGUUCAACCGUUCAACGAGACCCCGGACUCCCCCCACUCUGAGGCUAGAGGAAGGGCCGUCACCCUGGCUGUUAGGGAGGAGAGCAAGUACAAGGUGGUGUCCUGUCGGGAGGGCAGCAACGACAUCAAGGUGGAGAUCAUGAAUAAACUUCCAGAGACAGUCGGCGACACUGACUGCUGGUUCUUGUUCUACAUGAAGGACUGUAUUGGGAGGAGUGGGCACUACCUGUUCGUGUCCGCUGCCAAGCCGAAAUUCGCCCUGGCCAUCGAACCGGAACAAGGGACUACCCGAAUAAACAAACUAGUGUUGCGACAAUUAGAUGAUGAGGUGGACGAGGGCUGCCACAUUGCAGUGCCUCCAGGGCGU